rnacentral:rRNA from 1 species
CUAUAUGGCCUCUGGAUUGGACUGCGGCCGAUCAGGCUGUUGGUGAGGUAAUGGCCCACCAAACCUGUUACCGGUACGGGCUCUGAGAGGAGGAGCCCGGAGAUGGGCACUGAGACAAGGGCCCAGGCCCUAUGGGGCGCAGCAGGCGCGAAACCUCUGCAAUAGGCGAAAGCCUGACAGGGUUACUCUGAGUGAUUCCCGCUAAGGGGAUCUUUUGGCACCUCUAAAAAUGGUGCAGAAUAAGGGGUGGGCAAGUCUGGUGUCAGCCGCCGCGGUAAUACCAGCACCCCGAGUGGUCGGGACGAUUAUUGGGCCUAAAGCAUCCGUAGCCGGUCAUGCAAGUCCUCCGUUAAAUCCACCUGCUUAACAGAUGGGCUGCGGAGGAUACUACAAGGCUAGGAGGCGGAAGAGGCAAGCGGUACUCAGUGGGUAGGGGUAAAAUCCUCUGAUCCAUUGAAGACCACCAGUGGCGAAGGCGGCUUGCCAAUACGCGCUCGACGGUGAGGGAUGAAAGCUGGGGGAGCAAACCGGAUUAGAUACCCGGGUAGUCCCAGCUGUAAACGAUGCAGACUCGGUGAUGGACCGGCUUUAUGCCGGCUCAGUGCCGCAGGGAAGCCGUUAAGUCUGCCGCCUGGGGAGUACGGUCGCAAGACUGAAACUUAAAGGAAUUGGCGGGGGAGCACCACAAGGGG